UACGGAGGGUGCAAGCGUUAAUCGGAAUUACUGGGCGUAAAGCGUGCGCAGGCGGUUUGUUAAGUCCGUUGUGAAAGCCCCGAGCUCAACUUGGGAAUUGCAGUGGAUACUGGCAGGCUGGAGUCUGGCAGAGGGGGGUAGAAUUCCACGUGUAGCAGUGAAAUGCGUAGAGAUGUGGAGGAACACCGAUGGCGAAGGCAGCCCCCUGGGUCAAGACUGACGCUCAUGCACGAAAGCGUGGGGAGCAAACAGG
rnacentral:rRNA from 1 species